ACGGGAGUACAACAUGUCUUCCCCGGACGAGGUGCGUCGUACCCGGUCACGACAAGACGGCGCGGA
rnacentral:ncRNA from 1 species